CCUAAAAUUCCCAUGGCAAACUGCUCAGUAACACAUGAUCAACUUACCCUAUAGAGAAAAAUAACCUCGGGAAACUGAGGAUAAUACUUCAUAGUUGAAUCGGCUUGGAAAAGUUUUUCAAUAAAAGGGAUAAGAAAAAUGGUUCUUAUCUGCUAUAGGAUAGGAUCGUGGACGAUUAUGGUUGUUGGUGAGAUAACGGCUCACCAAGCCGAUAAUCGAUAGGGGCCGUGAGAGCGGGAGCCCCGAGAUGGGUACUGAGACAACGACCCAGGCCUUACGAGGCGCAGCAGGCGCGGAACCUCCGCAAUACACGGAAGUGUGACGGGGUUACCCAAAGUGUUCAAUUCUGAACUGUGGUAGGUGAGUAAUGUUCCCUACUAGAAAGGAGAGGGCAAGGCUGGUGCCAGCCGCCGCGGUAAAACCAGCUCUUCAAGUGGUCGGGAUAAUUAUUGGGCUUAAAGUGUCCGUAGCCGGUUUAGUAAGUUCCUGGUAAAAUCGGGUAGCUUAACUAUCCGUAUGCUAGGAAUACUGCUAUACUAGAGGGCGGGAGAGGUCUGAGGUACUACAGGGGUAGGGGUGAAAUCUUAUAAUCCUUGUAGGACCACCAGUGGCGAAGGCGUCAGACUGGAACGCGCCUGACGGUGAGGGACGAAAGCCAGGGGAGCGAACCGGAUUAGAUACCCGGGUAGUCCUGGCCGUAAACGACGCAUACUAGGUGAUGGUACGGCCAUGAGCCGUAUCAGUGCCGUAGGGAAACCGUUAAGUGUGCCGCCUGGGAAGUACGGUCGCAAGGCUAAAACUUAAAGGAAUUGGCGGGGGAGCACCACAAGGGGUGAAGCCUGCGGUUCAAUUGGA
rnacentral:rRNA from 1 species